CUCCUGGAAACGGGUGGUAAUGCCGGAUGCUCCGCCCCCUCGCAUGGGGGGUCGGGAAGGCUUUUGCGGAAUGGGAUGGGGUCGCGUCCUAUCAGCUUGUUGGCGGGGCGACGGCCCACCAAGGCUUCGACGGGUAGCCGGCCUGAGAGGGCGACCGGCCACAUUGGGACUGAGAUACGGCCCAGACUCCUACGGGAGGCAGCAGUGGGGAAUAUUGCACAAUGGGGGGAACCCUGAUGCAGCGACGCCGCGUGCGGGAUGGAGGCCUUCGGGUCGUGAACCGCUUUUGAUUGGGAGCAAGCGUGAGUGAGUGUACCUUUCGAAUAAGCACCGGCUAACUACGUGCCAGCAGCCGCGGUAAUACGUAGGGUGCAAGCGUUGUCCGGAAUCAUUGGGCGUAAAGGGCUCGUAGGCGGUUCGUCGCGUCCGGUGUGAAAGCCCAUCGCUUAACGGUGGGUCUGCGCCGGGUACGGGCGGGCUUGAGUGCGGCAGGGGAGGCUGGAAUUCCCGGGUGUAACGGUGGAAUGUGUAGAUAUCGGGAAGAACACC
rnacentral:rRNA from 1 species